ACAUACAAUAGCAAUCUAGGUAAAGUACCUUGCUCAAGGGUACAACAGCAGUGUCCCCCACUGGGGAUUGAACCCACAACCCUCCAGUCAAGAGUCCAGAGCCCUAACCACUACUCCACACUGCUGCCCGUAUAUGAAGUUGUUUUAUUUAUUAAACAGGCACAGUCAUUCCAAAUCAUCCCAAAUCAUCCCAGUUGCUUUUAACAGCUGCCUCUCAAAGAGGAAAAUUCACAAAGCUCUUUAUUUCUGACAUGAGAUAAAAAAAAAAAAAGCAACAUCGAAGUUAAACAACUUGUUCAUUUUUAGAUUUGUAACAAUGUUUUUCUUGUUUUUAGGACUAAUGAGUUGUGAGAUCAAGGCUGCAGCACUCCUCUGACUGCUGUGAAACAGACUCAUCCAAAACCUAGGCUAACUGCACAUUUACACAUGUUAAACAGACUAUACAGUAUAAGAUUUUGAGAAGGUGUUUAGCUGGAGAGAGACUGGAGCAGUGUCGGUGGAUAAAACUGAAGUUUGGGAACUGAAGCCAAGAACAAAAGAACUCCAGAGACAAAAUGAUUGCUUUCUACCUGGAUAUCAGUUGCAAAUGGAUGAUCUUCAGUAGCUUUUAGACACUUUGUUUAAUGUAAAGUUCUUAGUUUUUAGGUUUAUGCAUGUAUUACAGUUUACCCUGAUUUGCUGUUUUUUUUUAAAAUAUGCUCCACCAUACCUUGUUGUUUUCCAGUGCUUUACCAUGAUUUCACGUUGCUUUAUUACACUUUGCUAUGCAUUUACUAUGAGAAACUUGUAUAAGUGUAUGAUAGCAUUGAGUUACUUUAUGGCACGUUUGGUUUGUGUUGUUUGAGUAUCUGCUCUGCCUAGUUUCUUUUUCACUGUGAGUCAGGUUUGCAUAGUGAGAUGUUCCUUUGUUCUAAAAAGAGAAUUCAGGAAUGAAUUUGGGUCAACUGUGAAUGUGCAGCUUUUUAAAAUAACAAUGGCACAUCACCAGUUUCAGCUGAAAGAAUAUUUAAACUCAGAUUAUUAUUGUUUGUAUAUUUUGUCUGUUUGUAACAUCUGCAGCUAGUUGGCCCCUGGUGCUCUUUGCUGGCCCAGGCCUGUGUCGUUUGGCACGUGGGUGGAAGAAGUUGGAAGCCUUUGCUGGGUGUAAUGAUUGAUGGCUGACUUUUACACAGAUGCUGUGACUCAAAAACCUUUGCUAGGCCUGCAGCUCACGAUUUGUCGACUGUUCCCUCUGUUCUAAAGUGAACAUCAGCUGCUGGCAUUGGGUUGCAGACACAGCAACACCAGUCACUUCUGCACAGCUCUGUGGACCUUCCUGCACUGUCGUGGGCGAGUGGCAAAUCCAUUUAAACACUGUUUAUUUAAACAGGAUUUGUCAUAAUCAUUUGUAAACGGUCUUGAUUAGAAAUCAUUAUUCAUUAUUAAAACCAAUCAAAAAGGUCACGUGGCCAAAACAGAGUUAUCUGAACCAUUGAUGGCUGAUAGAAAAAGGCAAUUUCCAGUACGGUACUGUCUUUUAUUUAUUGCAAGGAACUGGCUGUAUUGCAAAAUUGCAUUUUUGUGAGAUGUGGUAGUUGGUAGGUAGGGUGCAAUAUAUUAUCAGAUUAUCAUGAUGGAAACCCUUUUAUGACUAGGCUGCAAAAUGUAUAAUACAAUGUAUUUAUAUACAAGAAAACAUGAUUAAAAAGCAGUACAAAUGGCCAACUUUUACUGUUUUAUUAUAAAAACUGCAUUUUGGAUUUUGUGAUAUAAUAUAUUUUGCAUGUGAUAUUAUACAGUAUAUAAUUAUCAUUUUAUAUACAUAUCCUUGUGCUGUAGAAAGGUCAGGUAUUGUCUUCAUUACCCUUCUUUUGAUAAUUCAUACUGAAGACUGCAAUUUGACAUAAUCCUGUAAGGGCAUUUAAUCAACUUCUUUGUAUUUUUCCUGUUUGUACAGCAUGAAUAAAGAUGAUAGAGGUCUUUUCACUGAAUGCAUAAUCAAGGCGGUCAGAAGAGGGGCCAGACAGAAAUUUCCACAAUGAAUGUAUCGCACCUGUGAUUCUCUUCCCUUCCACAGACAGCAGAUUGAGCGCUUCUUAUAGUGAACGCUGUAUCCCUUGGGUCUCUCAGCUUAUCCAAUUCCAUACUACUGACUGCACCCAUUUUGGCUUAAAGUUUGUAAUUGUAUUUAAACAUUAACAAUACUGUUACCUGUGUCUGGGCUCAUGUGCAUUUGCAGUUUACCAUUGUUUGUCCAUACCAUUCACUAAACCUUAAAGAUGAUUACAGUAAGUAUUUCUCAAUCGGAUUUAGAUUGGGACUUUGACAAGGCCAUUCCAGAACCUUGAUUUUAUUCUUCUUUAACCAUUCUGAAGUACAUUUUGAUGUGUGCUCUGGAUUGUUGUUGUGUUGGAACGUCCAGUUGUGCUUUAAACUAAGUUUUGUAGCGGAGGGUUUCAGAUGGUUAGCCAAUAUCUUUUGGUAUGCUAUGGAAUCCAUUUUACCACGUAUUGGAACUAAAUUUCCUGUGCCAUUUGAGGAAAAACAGUCCGGUAGAAGGAUAUUACCACCUCCAUGCUUGACAGUAGGUAUGGUGUUCUUUUCUUUGUACACCUCACCAAACUUUCUCCAAACGUAACAAUUAUCAGCAAUACCAAAUAGCUUGAUUUUUGUUUCAUCACUCCACAAAACCUUUGACCAGAACUCAUAUCCAUCAUUCAAAUACCAUUUUGCAAACUUUAUGCGAUUGUCCUUGUGAUGUUUUCGUAAGAGUGGCUUUUUCCUUGGCCUGGCCUGGUGCAAUACUCGACCUAUGUUGAAAUGGAAACCCCAGUCCCACUUCCAGUCAAUUCACUUUGAAUAUCUUUGGCAGUCAAUCUCGGAUUGUUAUUAACCUUCCUCACAAUUCUUCUACUUGUUCUUGGUGAAAGAACCUUCUUUCUUCCAGACCGAGGGAGCGUUGUGACAGUACCAUGAGUCUUGUACUUCUUGAUAAUAGAAACAAUUGGGAUGCUUGGAAAUACUUGGAAAUCUUCUUGUAUCCUUUCCUAAAAUUAUUUGUUUUCGAGACAUUUCUAGAAAUUAUAAAUUUCCAUUGGGGUAUUAAACUUUUGACUACAACUGUAUAUUUUUUGCUGUGCUUAGCAUGUAAUAGGAUUAUACGGUACAUGCUUGGUUCCUAUCAGGAUCACCUCAGAAUAUUGUUUACUUUUGAUUGUGUUAUUAAACACAGUCGGAAAUAAACAUUGUGAACAACUGGAUUUCCAAAUGUUACAAGAAAUAAAUAAAUGAAGGAAACGGCUUCAGUGAGGAAUACAAAUAAUUGUACCUGCAAGAAACUACUAAUAAUAAACAUACAAUUUUUGUGAUGUGAAGUUCAAUGCCUCAGUAGUCUGUCCAAGUUCUUUCUUAUUCGUUUUGUAAAAAUAACUGAAUAGGGCCCUUUAUCUUAAGAAAUGGACAUCACAGUUUACGCAAUACAGCAAUGUGGAGUAGUGGUUAGGGCUCUGGACUCUUGACCGGAGGGUUGUGGGUUCAAUCCCCAGUGGGACACUGCUGUUGUACCCUUGAGCAAAGUACUUUACCUAGAUUGCUCCAGUAAAAACCCAACUGUAUAAAUGGGUAAUUGUAUGUGAAAUAAUGUAUAAUGUGAUAUCUUGUAACAAUUGUAAGUCGCCCUGGAUAAGGGCGUCUGCUAAGAAAUAAAUAAUAAUAAUACCAGGGAAGUGAAACAUUGCAUCAAAAAAUAAAUAGUAAAAUUGUAGUAGAAAUUAUAGACAGUGUAAUUCCAGUUUUAGCUCUAAAAAACUCAACUUUGAUGUUAAAAACCUUCAAAUAAAUACCUCAAGAGGUUAAUAUUCAAUAGUGGUUUCUGGCUAGUACAACAUUAGCUAUGUGGUGGUAAAUGCAUUGUGAGUAUGGCCUUUGGCAUGUUUCCAGCCAUGUUUUGAAUAUGCUUGCAAGCCUAUGAUUGCGUUUACAUUACUGAUGAUGAAAUAUAAUACGCUUGAACAUUGUUUAAAAUUAAUCUAGAUGCUUAGAUUUUAUAAAUAGUUUCAUGCCAGAAAAGGGAAAAUGUUUCAAAGCAAUAUUAUGCAUCUGCAUAGAAGCGUCUAUGGAUAGCUGGUAAUCUCCUACAUUAAUCUCUGUAUUAAACUAUAUCAUUAUAAUGCCACAGGCUGUAUUCUGAUUGCUUUCUGGCACGCUGUGCCCCCUAGUUCGGAAUCUUGAAAGAAUGCUGGGAAAGCUUAUUGAGGUGAACCCGCAAAUACAGUGCUGUUUUUGAAUGGGUUCAAAACAUGUGUAUUGUAUCUUGAAAUCGUAGAAAUGAACUAUUUUAAUAAUUUUUGUGAGUCUUAAUAAAUCUCAAUAUAUUAUAGCGCCAAUUCAA